rfam:Nomascus leucogenys chromosome 5, whole genome shotgun sequence.
GUUUUAGUAUAAGUAUGUCCCAUGCAACAUUUGAGACAUACUUAUGCUAAAA